UGGAAGGAGCAGUAAAUUAAAACUUCUUGUGCCUCCAGCGAGCGCAGGCUAAUUGCUCUCCAAGCUUCUUCCCCCAGCCCUGACAAUGCGCCUCAACCCUGACUAAGAGGGACCACCUCUGGGGACCAGGAAACAGUUCAAUCAACAGCCUAUUUAUUCUUCAGCGUCU
rnacentral:sRNA from 1 species